AUUGAACGCUGGCGGCAGGCCUAACACAUGCAAGUCGAGCGGAGCGGCGGACGGGUGAGUAAUGCCUAGGAAUCUGCCUGGUAGUGGGGGAUAACGUCCGGAAACGGGGGCUCAUACCGCAUACUAUCAGAUGAGACUAGUUCGGAUUAGCGAGUUGGUGGGGUAAAGGCAUACCAAGGCGACGAUCCGUAACUGGUCUGAGAGGAUGAUCAGUCACACUGGAAGUGAGACACGGUCCAUACUCCUUCGGGAGGCAGCAGUGGGGAAUAGUGGAGAAAGGGCGAAAGCCUGAGCCAGCCAUGCCGCGUGUGUGAAGAAGGUCUUCUGAUUGUAAAGCACUUUAAGUUGGGAGGCGUUACCAACAGAAUAAGCACCGGCUAACUUCGUGCCAGCAGCCGCGGUAAUAC
rnacentral:rRNA from 1 species